rnacentral:rRNA from 1 species
UACGUAGGCAGCAAGCGUUGUUCGGAAUUACUGGGCGUAAAGAGUGUGUAGGCGGUGUUCUAAGUCUGUUGUGAAAUCUCCCGGCUUAACUGGGAGGGUGCGGCGGAAACUGGAAUGCUAGAGGAUGGGAGAGGUAAGCGGAAUUCCUGGUGUAGCGGUGAAAUGCGUAGAUAUCAGGAGGAACAACGGUGGCGAAGGCGGCAUCCUGGACCGGUAUUGACGCUGAGGCGCGAAAGCCAGGGGAGCAAACGGG